rnacentral:lncRNA from 1 species
UUUGGACACGCUAGGCGGGUGCCUCAGUAGGUCUAGGCGCAUUUUCUUAAUUUUCUAACGCCUAGGCAUUAAUCGGGGUUGUAGCCAGCAGCCUAGCAGCUAGGUGGUGCUAGGCAGAGAUUUUUAGAACUGUGUUCCAAACAAAGUAGAAGAAAGAGGAAUAAUAAGAGAGUUUAUGUCUCUCCCCUUCCCAACCCACGCGAUCUCUCAUAUUUCACCUAAUUUGUAUUUUUUUUUAUUAUUGUCCAAUCAAUUUGCACCACCUAGCUUGCUAGUUAAUAUGUCUUGAAUAUAUUAGGAUUUGUUUUGUUUUUUUAUUUGUUGUGGUCCAAUCAAUUUGCCCACUAGGUUAAUAUUUUUUAAGUCAUGUGUUUGACACCGUUAUUUCUUUUAAAAUUCGUUACAAAUUCAUAUGAGCUUCAAAAAAAUCCUUUAAGUACUAUGAACUCGUAAUCACUUUCAUCUCAUACCCGCCUAGGCAUUAGGUCACAACUCAUCACCUGACUAGCACAUAGCCUUUUAGAACUUUGCUCAUUAUACAGUUACAUUAUAGAAAGAUACUACAAGAAACAAUGCUUAAAUCAUCCUUCAAAUGAUAUGGUUAACUCAAAUCCUCAUUCGGAUAUUCCGGGUAGUCCAAAUCCUUCUUCGAAUAUUCCGGUUAGUCCAAAUCCUCCUUCAAAUAUUCCAAGUAGCUCACAUUAAACCCUCAUUUGAAUAAUACGGUCAGUCAAAUCCUCUUUCGGAUAUUUCGAGUAGUCCAAAUCCUCAUUCGAAUAUUCCGAUUAGUCCAAAUCCUCCUUCAAAUAUUUUGAGUAGAUCACUUAAAGUUAAAGUCACUGAAUUUGAUGAAAUAUUGGCCACUCUUCUUGCAGACCCUAGAUAUAGACCUUGAAUAGUUUUCUACAUUUUUUUUCGGACCUUUUACCUUUCUAAAUUUUGUCCUUUUACCCGACAAUUCCUGACUUCGCCACUGUGUAUCACUACAUAAAAAUAUAAGCUAAAAGGAGCCAAAAUUUGAGAUUGUUUUUUACAUAAGGGGUUGAAAACUUGCGUUUGACAUGUCUACAUCAUCUUUCGGUAAAGUAUGAUGCAUAAUUAACACACGUAAUUAUAUUAAAAUACAUAAUAAUCAAUCUGAUCUUGUUGUGGGAGCAAAUGUACGCAUAUAUGCUUUUUUGAUAGUUGAAUUAGCCUUUCAAAUCAGUGCAUGCAGCUGUGGAAAGGAGGCUGAGAUAAGUGCUCUUUCCAUUCAAACUGAGAUGAGCAACAAAUUAACAAUCAAAAUGCAUGCAGCCCCCAAGUUUUUAAUCCUCUCUAAAAUCCAACACCCCACAACUUUCCUUGGUCACAUUAGUGACCUAAUUUUUCCUUCCAUUUCAAAUUAAACAAAUUCAUAUACAAACAUUUUUAGUACCAUAUUGGACUCUCCACUAUGAUGAUGGGAUUACAAGUUUGUGAAACAGCUGGAGUAGUUUAAGCAACUGUGGCAAAUAGGGUAAUGGAGGUUUGAGAGGAAAGAGUUGCGUUUUAGGUUAUGGUGGAAGGGGAAAGAAACAAAGGCCAAGACUAUAUUGUUUUUUUCCUCAAAAGGACUUAAAACAAUUUUUCUUUACUGCUACAGAGGACUAUAGAGGGAAAGCAGGAAACACGGCUCCUUAUGAUUACUUUAUCGUUGUUUAAAAUUUCGUAUUGUGGAGCCAAAAAUAAUCUAAAAAAUUAUUGAGGUGAAACGUGAACUUUUGUGUUAGAAUGACAAAAUUACCCUCGAGGCACAUCGGAUUCCCACACGCAUGCAACGGAUAAUAACGGCUCAAUCAAGAAAGAGUUAAAGGUGAUCAAUAUGAUAUUUAUUCAAAUCCCUCUCAUCAUCCCUUAUCAAUCCCUUAUUGAUUUUAUUCAAAAGGUAAAUGUUAAAACUUCCUAUUUAAUUUAGAAAUAAUUGUCAUGUUAAUUGCAAGAUAUUUUUUUACAUAAUAUCUUGUAAUUAUUCUCCAAAUACCAUCAUAUAUAGCCGACCGUUCUCCAUCCUAAGGGCUGGCCACUCCCCUAUAUAUAGCUCUAUCAUCCCACUAAAAAGCGAGGCCAUCAGCUACCCACAAACUUUUAAACACAUUCUUUUCAGAAUUCUAACUUUGGCAUUGGAGAUUCUUCGGCUAAAGGCCCCCCCAAUUCAUCAUGGACGCGUGAGGCUUUUGGCCUUAAUCGAAGGUGUUAUUAUUUUGCAGGUGCAUUUUCGUCAAAGGAAUAGGUGGCGGAAAUUUGUAUCAAAAAAUUUGUGCUUUCAUUGAGAGUUGAUUCACACACUAGAAGAAGACUUUCACAUUCAAAGUUUCUCAUUUCUCGUUCGUUCGUAAAUUUUUCAUACAUUCGUAUUCCUAGAAUUUUUUAAUUCUUUGAAUAGACAUAGGAGAAAAUACAAUGGUGGGAAAUUCGGAAGCCACAACGAACAAAACUUUCUACAUUCAAAGAUCUGGAUGAAAUGAUGGAGGACGCGUUGUAGCCCCACCACAACGAUCCACGAGACUCACUACGACAAGAGGAGUAACCUUGCCACCUUGGAACACCGCCACCAUGGCAGCCACAAC